AUCGCUUCUCGGCCUUUUGGCUAAGAUCAAGUGUAGUAUCUGUUCUUAUCAGUUUAAUAUCUGCACAUUGUAAUAAAGCAAGGAUUUCUGUAUCAGAAAUGCUUGGACUUCUAAUUUAGGCUCUGUCCCACCCUUCUGGGACACUUGUUAAAUAAGUU
rnacentral:snRNA from 1 species